rnacentral:rRNA from 1 species
AGAGUUUGAUCAUGGCUCAGAAUCAACGCUGGCGGCGUGCCUAACACAUGCAAGUCGAACGAGAAAGGGGCUUCGGCCCUGAGUAAAGUGGCGCACGGGUGAGUAACACGUGACUAACCUACCCUUGAGUGGGGGAUAGCCGAGGGAAACCUUGAUUAAUACCGCAUAAUACCUACGGGUCAAAGGAGCAAUUCGCUUAAGGAGGGGGUCGCGGCCGAUUAGUUAGUUGGCGGGGUAAUGGCCCACCAAGACAGUGAUCGGUAUCCGGCCUGAGAGGGCGCACGGACACACUGGAACUGAAACACGGUCCAGACUCCUACGGGAGGCAGCAGUGGGGAAUUUUGCGCAAUGGGGGAAACCCUGACGCAGCAACGCCGCGUGGAGGAUGAAGUCUCUUGGGACGUAAACUCCUUUCGAUCGGGACGAUAAUGACGGUACCGAGAGAAGAAGCCCCGGCUAACUUCGUGCCAGCAGCCGCGGUAAUACGAGGGGGGCGAGCGUUGUUCGGAAUUAUUGGGCGUAAAGGGUGCGUAGGCGGUUCGGCAAGUCUUGUGUGAAAUCUUCGGGCUCAACUCGAAGUCUGCACUAGAAACUGCCGGGCUUGAGUGUGGGAGAGGUGAGUGGAAUUUCCGGUGUAGCGGUGAAAUGCGUAGAUAUCGGAAGGAACACCUGUGGCGAAAGCGGCUCACUGGACCACAACUGACGCUGAGGCACGAAAGCUAGGGGAGCAAACAGGAUUAGAUACCCUAGUAGUCC